rnacentral:rRNA from 1 species
AAUUCGCCCUUAGAGUUUGAUCCUGGCUCAGGAUGAACGCUGGCGGCGUGCCUAACACAUGCAAGUCGAGCGAAGCGCUUAGAUUGGAUUCUUCGGAUGAAGAUCUUUGUGACUGAGCGGCGGACGGGUGAGUAACGCGUGGGCAACCUGCCUUACACAGGGGGAUAACAGUUAGAAAUGACUGCUAAUACCGCAUAAGCACACAGAACCGCAUGGUUCGGGGUGAAAAGCCGAGACGGUAUGAGAUGGACCCGCGUCUGAUUAGCUAGUUGGAGGGGUAACGGCCCACCAAGGCAACGAUCAGUAGCCGACCUGAGAGGGUGACCGGCCACAUUGGGACUGAGACACGGCCCAGACUCCUACGGGAGGUAGCAGUGGGGGAUAUUGCACAAUGGGGGAAACCCUGAUGCAGCGACGCCGCGUGAGUGAAGAAGUAUUUCGGUAUGUAAAGCUCUAUCAGCAGGGAAGAAAAAAGACGGUACCUGACUAAGAAGCCCCGGCUAACUACGUGCCAGCAGCCGCGGCAAUACGUAGGGGGCAAGCGUUAUCCGGAUUUACUGGGUGUAAAGGGAGCGUAGACGGCAAUACAAGUCGGAAGUGAAAUACCCGGGCUCAACCUGGGAACUGCUUUGGAAACUGUAUGGCUGGAGUGCUGGAGAGGUAAGCGGAAUUCCUAGUGUAGCGGUGAAAUGCGUAGAUAUUAGGAGGAACACCAGUGGCGAAGGCGGCUUACUGGACAGUAACUGACGUUGAGGCUCGAAAGCGUGGGGAGCAAACAGGGUUAGAUACCCUGGUAGUCCACGCUGUAAACGAUGGAUACUAGUGGUCGGGGACUGACCCCCUGCGUGCCGCAGCUAACGCAAUAAGUAUCCCACUCUGGGGAGUACGAUCGCACGGUUGAAACUCAAAGGAAUUGACGGGGGCCCGCACAAGCGGUGGAUUAUGUGGAUCAAUUCGAUGCAACCCGUAAGAACCUUACCAGGGCUUGACAUCCUACUAAUGAGGUAGAGAGACGUUAGGUGCCAUUGGGGGAAAGUAGAGACAGGAGGCGCAUGGUUGUCGUCGGCUCGUGUUGUGAGAUGUGGGGUUAAGUCCCGCAGCGAGGGCAACCUUUAUUGUUAGUUGCUAAGCAAGAGCACUCUAGGGAGACACCCGUCGACAAAACGGAGGAAGGUGGGGACGAUGUCAAAUCAUCAUGCCCCUUCAGUCCGGGGCUUCACAUGUAAUACAAUGGCGGCCAACAGAGGGACGCAAAACC